rnacentral:rRNA from 1 species
CAGAUCAGCAUGCUGCGGUGAAUACGUUCCCGGGCCUUGUACACACCGCCCGUCACACCAUGGGAGUCGGUAACACCCGAAGUCGGUAGCCUAACCGUAAGGAGGGCGCCGCCGAAGGUGGGGAUUGAUGACUGGGGGUGAAGUCGUAACAAGGUAGC